AGUCUACUGCUAAAAACAGAGGAGAGGAAGUUCAGAGACGGCCUCAAGAGCAUUAAAAGAAGACGUGAAAGGCCUGUUCUUAUCCAGGGCAAACACUCCUUGCCUUACGUAAAGCAAGUUUCUAAGGGCUAGCUCCAUGGAAACAGUCACAGAAGUUAAGUCAAAAGUUGAGGUCAUGGAAACCAUUCAUCAUUUAUGGCCUCAUCUCAGAGACCUCUGAACUACACAUACUGUCACUUUUUGACUUUAAAAGUUUCCCCUGGUUUUGGACCCUUUUACAAAGCCGGGAUUGCCUCAGCCCUGACCCUGCCAAGCAGCUGGGUGCGUUGUCCACUCCAGCGGGUCUCGGAAGGUAGAGGCUUCCACCUCACCCCAUGAGGCCUCCAGAAGGGAAACGUUCCCAGAUUACAUCCUGAUACAUGAGUCUGCUCAUCGGAAAGCACAGUGAUGACCACCCUUUUUAUAAAGUUUGACAGAAAGAGAAAGGCUGCUGUCAUCCUUGGAGCAGUUUCUUCAGUUCAGAGUGUCCAAGAGUCAAUACCAUUGGCUCCUCUGGGAAGCAUAUGGAGCUCCAUGUCAUCCACACACCUGUUUUUCAGAGACAGCAACUCCCAUCACCUGGAAAUGUUUAUUUGUGUGGAUGUCCACGAACACAGAGACAAGUGCGUGGGUGUGUGUUUAUAUAUUUAACUAUGCAGAAAUAAACUUUCUGGAUGGAAGUUGAUAAGGGUCA
rnacentral:lncRNA from 1 species